rnacentral:rRNA from 1 species
UACGUAGGUGACAAGCGUUGUCCGGAUUUACUGGGCGUAAAGAGCGCGCAGGCGGUCGUUCCAAGUCGAGUGUGAAAGCCCCCCGGCUCAACUGGGGAGGGUCACUCGAUACUGAUCGACUUGAAGGCAGGAGAGGGAAGCGGAAUUCCCGGUGUAGUGGUCGAAAUGCGUAGAUAUCGGGAGGAACACCAGUGGCGAAGGCGGCUUCCUGGACCAACACUGACGCUGAGGAGCGAAAGCCAGGGGAGCAAACGGG